rnacentral:rRNA from 1 species
GACGAACGCUGGCGGCGUGCUUAACACAUGCAAGUCGAGCGGUAAGGCCACUUCGGUGGUACAUGAGCGGCGAACGGGUGAGUAACACGUGAGCAACCUGCCCUUCUCUUUGGAAUAAGCGUUGGAAACGACGUCUAAUGCCGAAUAUGACCUCUUUUCGCAUGAUCUGAGGUGGAAAGCUCCGGCGGAGAAGGAUGGGCUCGCGGCCUAUCAGCUAGUUGGUGUGGGUAAUGGCCCACCAAGGCGACGACGGGUAGCCGGCCUGAGAGGGUGACCGGCCACACUGGGACUGAGACACGGCCCAGACUCCUACGGGAGGCAGCAGUGGGGAAUAUUGGACAAUGGGCGAAAGCCUGAUCCAGCAACGCCGCGUGAGGGAUGACGGCCUUCGGGUUGUAAACCUCUUUCAGCACCGACGAAGCGAGAGUGACGGUAGGUGCAGAAGAAGGACCGGCCAACUACGUGCCAGCCGCCGCCGUAA